rnacentral:lncRNA from 1 species
ACCUCUUCAGACUCAAUAUUUUUCUUAGCCUUUGUUGAGCAAACGCUCAACAUGGCUCACAUCAUGGUUUUUUUUUUUUUUUUUCUUUAGUUACUUAUCCAGAUGAUGGGAUCAUGUGCAUUCGUGAUGAAAUAAUGUGUCCUGUGUUGACUUUGAUUUUAAAGACAUUUGCAUUGUCCCCACAUAAAGGUUCUAUGUCAUCUAGCUUUUGAAGAUAUAUUGAUUUUAUUUUUUUAUUUGUAUUCUGCACCACAUAUGUGUGUCUAGUACUUGUGGAUGUCAGAGAGGCAACUAGAGUUAUGGAUGAAUGUGAGCCACCACGUGGGUUUUGGGAACUGAACCCACGUCUUCUGCAAAAAUAUUAAAUGUUUUAACCACUGAACCAACUCUUCAAUCAUCUGUGCCAUUUUUGUGGACAGUGGUAGUCAUUACUAAAAUACCAUCAAGGCUUUAUUUAACCAUAGAUUUAAAAUUAAUGAUAUCAUUCUUCUCCAAGCAUUUAACUUUCAGAAAACAGAAAACCUGUGAAAACCCAGGAAGACAGAUAGCAUUUAUUUUGAUUUUUAUGAUGACAUCUCACUCUGUAGCUUAGCAUCGCCUUGAGUUCUCAUUCUGUCUCAGUUUCUCAAUAGCUAGGAGAUUUGAUGUUUUUAUUGAACUCCUAUUUCUAGAUCCUGGUACAGUGGUUGGCACCUAUGGUGCUAGUUACCUAUUCCUUGAAUGAAUGAAGACUACAGAUAAGAUCUUUCUAGUAGACAGAGAAAUUAUAAUACAGUCUACCAGACCUUAAAUUUUCACUCACAUAACCCUGCGAAAAUAUGGCUAUUAAGUUCUUUUCUUUUAUUAUUUUGUUUCCUGGUCUUCCUCCAUCCAUGAACUUCUCAUAUUUACCGUUUGAAAGAAUUAAAAGAUUAAGUUUCUUAUUUAUUUGUGUAGGUGUGUUUGUGUGUGAGGGUUUCUCUUCCAUGGUGCACAUGUAAAGGUUAGUGAAUAACUUUUGGGAUUGUUCUCCUGCCAUAUAGGUACCGAGGAAUUGGACUCAGGCCAUCCAGUUUGGCAGCAAGUAACUUUACACGCUUAGCCAUCUCUAUGAAUGUGUACUACUGAUAGGGACACAGCCUUGUCAAGGACCCCAGAGGAGGCACAGACCCAUAGAGGAACAGCAAAGCCUUCCAUCUCAUGGUGAAGCUUGAGGAAAAAUGAAUCCGGGUCAUGUGUGGAUGUUGAUAUGGUAUAUAGAAAUUGUCCUUCAUAGUUUUCUCCUCCAGAUAUUUACAGCCUAAAGACUGCUCCCAAAUAGAGACUGCUCCUACCAUAAUUAGCCAGUCCUGUCUCCUUGAUCUAUCUGUACACCUUGGCUGUAUACUUUGGGAUCCAUAAAUCUUGCCUCCUCACCUAUCUGUAUGUAACCCCAUCUCCAAAUUCAGCUGUAUGCAGUAAUCCCAUUUCUCGAUCAAUUCUACAUAAGAAACAUGCUGGGACUGGGCUGGGGGCUUCAGUUUCUCUGGAAGAGACCCCAGACCACAUGACUCUAGCUCCCUAGCUACCACCCUUUCUCUUCUUCCUCCCUUCUUUUCUUCCUCCCUUCUCUUCUCUUCUCUUCUCUUCUCUUCUCUUCUCUUCUCUUCUCUUCUCUUCUCUUCUCUUCUCUUCUCUUCUUUCUUUCUUUCUUUCUUUCUUUCUUUCUUUCUUUCUUUCUCUUUCUCUCUCUUUCUCUCUCUCUCUCUCUCUCUCUCUCUCUCUCAUUCUUUCUCUCUCUCUUCCCCUCCCUCUCUCCCUCCCUUUCUCCCUCCCUUCCUUCCUUUCUUUCCUCUAUCUCUUCCCCUCCCUCCCUCCUUCCCUCCUUUCCUUCUUUGUCUCUCUCCUCUGUCUCUUUCCAUCUUUAUGUCUUUUCUCCUCAUUGUACUCCAGGCAGGUCUGUCCCUGGAGCUGAAAAUGGAUGUAGCACACUAGAUACUAUACUUUUAAUUUUUAAUAAUAAUAAUAAUAAUAAUAAUAAUAAUGUCAAAAUUUGCCAGCAUUCUUAUUAUUAUAGAAAGCAUUAUUGUGUUAGUGGAGAUAAUUAAACUCCUUUGACCACAUCUCACUAAAAUAAAAGUACUGAUGACUUUUUUUCAGUGUAAAGAGAAGACUUUUCCCCUUGUGGUUAUGAUUUUAAGAAUAGGUAAGGCCUUUUCUUAUCUGUUAAAGUCUUAAAAAUUGCAAGUGGCAAAUCCAUCAACCAUAUGUGUGGAGUAGCUUCAGAGAUGCCCGUAUUUGCUUAAAGCAAUUUAUUUUCUUAGAAACUUUGCAGAUCAUUAGGGAUUCUACAACUAGUCCUGAAAUCUUUCACUGAAUUUAGUUAGGACUUCUGGUACCAGGCAGAAGUCUGCCCAAUUUUUGCUGAGGUUAGAGGGUUGAAAACAUCACACAGAAGCACAGAGGGAAAACAUCUGAAACAGGAAAGGGACAAUGAGCCUAAGGUGCUGAGGCCAGAAAGGCCAGUGAUGUCUUCUCUUCAACUCUAUAUACUGUGGAAACAAUGUAACAAAGAUCAUAGUCUUAUGGAUGAACAUAAAGCCUUCCUUAUUGCAACAUCUGCCUUAUACAGAGGACAGUGAAUUUAAAAC